rnacentral:rRNA from 1 species
CCUACGGGAGGCAGCAGUCGAGAAUCAUUCACAAUGGGGGAAACCCUGAUGGUGCGACGCCGCGUGGGGGAAUGAAGGUCUUCGGAUUGUAAACCCCUGUCAUGUGGGAGCAAAUUAAAAAGAUAGUACCACAAGAGGAAGAGACGGCUAACUCUGUGCCAGCAGCCGCGGUAAUACAGAGGUCUCAAGCGUUGUUCGGAAGCACUGGGCGUAAGGCGUGCGUAGGCUGUUUCGUAAGUCGGGUGUGAAAGGCGCGGGCUCAACCCGCGGACGGCACAUGAUACUGCGAGACUAGAGUAAUGGAGGGGGAACCGGAAUUCUCGGUGUAGCAGUGAAAUGCGUAGAUAUCGAGAGGAACACUCGUGGCGAAGGCGGGUUCCUGGACAUUAACUGACGCUGAGGCACGAAGGCCAGGGGAGCGAAAGGGAUUAGAUACCCUGGUAGUC